ensembl:lncRNA
GGGUCUGUAUCACCGCAGACACACGCUUUGGCAGGGAACUGUGUGUGCAACCAGAGCCCUGUUUAUGAACAUGCCCACAGCAGGUUCCGAAGAAUACAACAUUUCCAAAGAGGAGGGAAGCAUGGAAAUCACAGCUUUGCUCAGAAUGACAUUCUAAUUACUCUCAAUUAACAUAAAGAGGGUGCAGCUUUAUAAAGACUAGUGAAAGCAGCUCCAUAUUUUCUUGAGUGCCAGUGAGGGAGUGGGUCCUGGGGAAGGCACUAAAGACCGUGGAUGGAAUAAAGUGCUUCUGCUUAGAUUGUCUUUGCUGUUUACCUUCCGGCUUUGCGGCUCCCACUCUCUGACUAAGGGCUGUGACCAAGUCAGACCUUCUCCACAGGGAUCGAACCCAGGUCUCCUGCACUGCAGUCGGAUUCUUUACUAUCUGAGCCAUAUCAAGAACACAACUAAGGAGUCUGCUCAUCUGGGCUGAAUUCUACUGACAUCUCUUACCAGCUGUGUAACCACAGGUGAAGGAUUGCACCUCUGUGCCUCAGUCUUCUCUGCAAAAUGGCUCCUCUGUCCAUGGGAUUCUCCAGGCAAGAAUACUGGAGUGGGUAGCCAUUCCCUUCUCCAAAGGAUCUUCCCAACCCAGCAAUUGAACCCAGGUCUCCUACAUUGCCGGCAGAUUCUUUACCACUGAGCUACCACGGAAGCCCCAGUUAAAAGAGAGGAUCACGGGCAGAGGUUAAGAAAGAAUUCUGAUCCUGAGCAUCUGCAGGACUUGACAUCCUCUGUCCUAGCCCUUUGUCUCGUGCUCAUCAGAGAACUCCAAUGCUGAAUUUUUUAGGUGCCGUGGGAUGAAAAGACAUGGAACUAACAUGUGCAACCAAAGUGUGUGACUACUGAAGGGAAUAUUGAAUCAAUGGAUCUUAUGCAUGUUUGAAU